ensembl:lncRNA
CCCUCCCCAGUGCCCUCAUUCCCCUGCUUCUGGGGCCUGUACUCUCCCCUAAAAGCUAGGACUAUAGGCCAGGGGACAGACUGUAUCCUAUAAGCCAUUAUCUACAUCCAUCCUUUCCCAACUCCUCUGUGGGACAAAAUGGACCUGAGUAAACACUGCAGCUUGUCAUACUGCUACUCAUGUUCCCUACGUCUAACUGUUCUUAUGGAAGUCACUUCUUUGCUGUUCGAGAUCUCCAUGAAAACCCAACUGAGGGAAGUGAAAGAAGUCUGGAAGUACCAAAUACCUCCCAAUGCCUUCCUUCACAGAUGGCAGAGACUGGAUUUGCAGCUCACUCCACUUUGUAUUACUGCCCUCCCUGGGUUCAAUUCAAUGGAAAAAGAUGCACGCUUGCCUAGUUCCUUCUUUGGCUGUGGAGAAUAUUCUUUCAUCAUGCAUGCCUUGUGGAUAUCUAGGGACCUUACUUUGCUUAAAAUAGUUGCAUUCUCUGAUAAUGUUCCUGGUGAUACCUGAAAGUCAGGUGAUAUCAGUCUCCAAAGAAAUAAAAAUGCAGAUCAACCAGAAGGCA